rnacentral:antisense_RNA from 8 species
UGCCAUGGCGGUUGUGCGUGGGAGACCUUCGGGUCUGCCGGGUUCUAGGGUCCCGGUCUGCUAACCCGCGUACAGUCGCCACCAUU